rnacentral:ncRNA from 1 species
GACCCCAGUGAUGCAGUUUUAUCCGGUAAAGCAAAUGAUUAGAGGUCUUGGGGCCGAAACGAUCUCAACCUAUUCUCAAACUUUAAGUGGGUAAGAAGCCUGGCUAGCUCAGUCGGUAGAGCAUGAGACUGUUAAUCUCAGGGUC